AUUGAACGCUGGCGGCAUGCCUUACACAUGCAAGUCGAACGGCAGCACGGGAGCAAUCCUGGUGGCGAGUGGCGACCGGGUGAGUAAUAUAUCGGAACGUGCCCAGUCGUGGGGGAUAACGCAGCGAAAGCUGUGUUAAUACCGCAUACGAUCUAAGGAUGAAAGCGGGGGAUCGCAAGAUCUCGCGCGAUUGGAGGGGCCGAUAUCAGAUUAGCUAGUUGGUGGGGGAAAGGCCCACCAAGGCGACGAUCUGUAGCUGGUCUGAGAGGGCGACCAGCCACACUGGGACUGAGACACGGUCCAGACUCCUACGGGAGGCAGCAGUUGGGAAUUUUGGACAAUGGGCGCAAGCCUGAUCCAGCAAUGCCGCGUGCAGGAUGAAGGCCUUCGGGUUGUAAACUGCUUUUGUACGGAACGAAACGGCCCUUUCUAAUACAGGGGGCUAAUGACGGUACCGUAAGAAUAAGCACCGGCUAACUACGUGCCAGCCGCCGCAGUAA
rnacentral:rRNA from 1 species